rnacentral:lncRNA from 1 species
GCUCCGGGAUGGGCAGUAGCGCAUCACCGCUGGCACUUCUGCUUACUCUCGUGUGCUUUUUAGAGCGAAAAACACUUAAAAUCAAACGUCAGUUUUACUGCUCUGAAACUGUGCAUAUGAAAUUCGGAUUGUACACCGUCACGUCACAAGUUCGAAGCAGUUCCUUGUGAAAAAGCAUGUUCUUACCCUGCCCUGCUGGGUUGUGAACACGAGAAGAGCAGAAAAAAAGCAGCGGCCGCGGAGACACUUGUCACUUCAGCGGAUUCACACCAUUAGCCUUCAUACGACCCAUUUCCUAAAUACUAGUCAAGUACACGGCAAGUAGUAGUAGUAGUGAUCUUUCUCUGAAAGCAACGUUCAUACUAAAAAGCAGCAGUAUGGUCAAAAACUUUUUGGAACUUGAUGACUUUUAUUUGUCAACGAUAUAUUCACACUGGAAAGCUUCAUCUGAGAUAAAUGGGACCGAGUGGUUUGCAGGUGAAGCUCCAGGUGUCUAAAAGGUAAUAUGUUUUUGAGCCUAAAAGAAAGCCAACUGGUGUCUCCUGACAAGGCAGAAAGUUGCAUCAGUUGUCAGUAGAAAUCAAGCAAUAGAGGACACUUCUGUUUUUCUCUCACACAGUAUGUUGUAUUAUCAUGUUUCAUAACAAUUGAGCCUAUAGAUUCUGUACGUUUUGUCAGUAUUUCCCCUAAAACAGUUUUUAUUAAAGGGAUUUUGACUGGGUCAUAACUGUACAGAGCAGUGUCUCAAUUUUGAUGAUUCGCACAAUACACAGAUCAUCAAGACGACGGUUAACGAAGUUCAUUGCUUCCCCCAUUGCUUCAAGUAUUCAACUUGAAUUUACUUUAAAGUUCCAGACAGAGCCAAGUGCAGAGCAACCAAUAUCAAGACAUUUUCAUACCCCAGUGCAGCAAGUGCGAUAUGACAAGUGGGAGAUGAACAUGGAAUCAGAUGCUGUGUUUUUUUUUUUUUUUUUUUUUUUUUCUCUCAAAGCUUUCUAGGCUUCUUUGAAAGAUGUUUCUGGUUUAAUUUAGCAUUUUUCUCUUUGGCA